rnacentral:lncRNA from 1 species
GGUUUCCAUCGUGAUAUGAGAAACAAUGUCAUGAUCGAAGGAGACUUGGUGCCUGAUUUAUCUAAAGGUGGCUAGGAUAGACCAUAGACCCACUCUCUAAGUGUGAUGCAAUGAACUGCAACAGAACAAUUUGCUUCUACCCAUAAACCUGCGACGCCAAGUCGAUGCACGAGAAUGAUCCCUUCAAGAAUAGCCUGCAGCUCUAUGAGUAUAGGACAAACACCAUAGGAUGAGAAGAAUGCAUGAAUGCAUCAUCCAGAGUGAUCUUGAAUGAUACCUCACCACUAGCAUAAUCAUCCCUAAGAGACCUAUCAGGGUUGAUCUUCUAGGAUCCCACCAGUGUAGUGCAGCGUGCCAGGAACCAGGAUAGGAGGAGAAGGUGGGAUAUGGUUGAGAGCAAUACCAAACAAAGGGACAAUAUGAAGUCCCUGCACCAGUGCACGAACAGAAAUCAACAGCCUUUGUAAAGAAGGUGAUAAUUUGAUAGACCUGUCAUAUAAUCCACCGAGCCUCCAUAGUUAUAUCUUGGUGCUUCGCAUCCUUACUUGCGGUUAGUAAGAGUUAAAAAGAUGAGCAAAUGAAUGCUAGUGUGAAUGUUGCCUCUCUAAACAAACUGGCCAGAGAACUCUGAAGGCGAUAUUGAAAAUUCUCACAACGUCGAAGCGAGACCUGAAAUAUGUCAGAGAAUUGGCGAUGAACCUGGUUAGAAAUUCCGCUACCUAUGAAUAGGUGCGAAAUGAUCUCAAUCACCAAACAAAAUUGACAUCGAGAUGCCAAAUGACACCCAAUUAGCCCAUGAAUCACAACAUGAACUAAUAAUCCCUGGCACAAUCACCAACAAGAGAGAGAGAGAGAUCUUCAGAGGAAUAUUAUAGCUCCAAAUCAUGCGAUAGACAUCCCGGGGCAUGCGGCCUAAGCAAACAAGCUCCCAAUCUUGAUGAUUGUUGAAGAUAUGGAAAGAUUGUAAAGAAUAAUUUCCAUGAUAUUUUUCCAAAUAGUUAGGUAUGGGAUCUACUAAAGACUUUAGUGGAUUGACUCAAUUGUGGAAUUAUUUUGUUUAUUAGUUGAUCAUGUGAUUAUCACACAAUAUUUUCUUUUGAAGUCAUUUAUAACCCUAUAAAUAAGAUCUUCUUCUUUGUAAUAAAAAUACAAAUUUAUUAUAUACAAUUUAUAUAAUACUCUAACCUGGAAUCAGUGCGCGUUUAAUUUCAUUUCGGGUUAAAUUUGUAAGCUUUUGUUCUGUGAUGAGCAGCCUCGUGCCACUCGUCCUAUCAAGUUUUCUUGUUUUGAUUAGAUAUUCUCGUUUAGUCAAAUUGAUUUUCAUUUUUUAUAUAUUCUGUCUAGUCAAGUCUUCUUUUAUUCUUGCUUUAAUUUGGAUUAGGAUUUCAGAUUAAUUCAAAUCCUGUUAUAUGUUGGCUAUUUUUAUUGCUUCCUUCUUGGAGAGGGUUUCCGAGAAAACUGAAAAUUAGUUUUGAAAUUUUAUUAUAUAUGUAGAUGCUAGAAUUAUUUUGAAGAAAAUCAUGCUAUUUUUUCAUUGAAUUUAUUUUCAUCACAUCUUUUAUUUUAGCCUCCUCAUUUGUCAGGGUUCCUAUGUCACCCAUCUUUCUUUCAUACGUAAAUGAAAUAGUGAUACUACUCAUAGAUUUUCGGAGUGCUGCUAUUAAACAUGGUUUAUCCGUAGCCUAUAUAGUUAUUAAAAUUUUUAAGGUUUUUGUUUUGGCCUUGUUUUUUUACACUUUUGGGUGUCUCCUUCAAGACUUGCUGAUGGUUUUGUUAGAUUGGUGGAAUAUGAUUUUUCUUUCUUACCAACUUUGAGUUCUUUGUUUGGCUU